rnacentral:rRNA from 1 species
AACGAACGCUGGCGGCAGGCCUAACACAUGCAAGUCGAGCGCCCCGCAAGGGGAGCGGCGGACGGGUGAGUAACACGUGGGAAUUUUCCUCAAGGUACGGAACAACUCAGGGAAACUUGGGCUAAUACCGUAUGAUGCAGAGAUGCCAAAGAUUUAUCGCCUUGGGAUAAGCCCGCGUCAGAUUAGGUAGUUGGUGGGGUAAUGGCCUACCAAGCCUGUGAUCUGUAGCUGGUCUGAGAGGACGAUCAGCCACAUUGGGACUGAGACACGGCCCAAACCCCUACGGGAGGCAGCAGUGGGGAAUCUUGCGCAAUGGACGAAAGUCUGACGCAGCCAUGCCGCGUGAAUGAUGAAGGUCUUAGGAUUGUAAAGUUCUUUAGCCUGUGACGAUGAUGACGGUAACAGGAGAAUAAGCCCCGGCUAACUACGUGCCAGCCACCGCCGUAA